CUGGAAGGAGAGAUGGCUUAAAGGGGUACGCGGGCUUCUUCCGCGAAUCUGCUCCAGGAUGGGACUGCGUCCGAUCAGGCUGUUGGCGGGGUAAUGGCCCACCAAACCUGUAACCGGUACGGGCCUUGAGAGAGGUGGCCCGGAGAUGGACACUGAGAGAAGGGUCCAGGUCCUACGGGGCGCAGCAGGCGCGAAACCUUCGCAAUGCGCGAAAGCGUGACGAGGUUAAUCCGAGUGGCCCCCGCUGAGGGGGUCUUUUGUCGGCUGUAAAUAGGCCGGCGAAUAAGGGGAGGGCAAGCCUGGUGUCAGCCGCCGCGGUAAUACCAGCUCCUCGAGUGGUCGGGGCGAUUAUUGGGCCUAAAGCAUCCGUAGCCGGUUCCGUAGGUCCUCUGUUAAAUCCAACCGCUUAACGGUUGACCUGCAGAGGAUACCGCGGGACUAGGAGGCGGGAGAGGCGGACGGUACUCCGCGUGUAGGGGUAAAAUCCUUCGAUCCAUUGAAGACCACCAGUGGCGAAGGCGGCUUGCCAGAACGCGCUCGACGGUGAGGGAUGAAAGCUGGGGGAGCAAACCGGAUUAGAUACCCGGGUAGUCCCAGCUGUAAACGAUGCAGACUCGGUGAUGGGCUAGCCUUGUGCCAGCCCAGUGCCACAGGGAAGCCGUUAAGUCUGCCGCCUGGGGAGUACGGUCGCAAGACUGAAAUUUAAAGGAAUUGGCGGGGGAGCACCACAAGGGGUGAAGCCUGCGGUUCAAUUGGAUUCAACGCCGGA
rnacentral:rRNA from 1 species